rnacentral:lncRNA from 1 species
AUGGGCGUGUCCUGGAUUCCAUCACAAACAUCCUUGAUGACCACAGCAGUGUCUUCUGAUGACAAUCCAACACUUUAUCCUAAACGCCCCCACUGACUCGGCUCAGCCCACAGGAUGGAUCACGCCUGAAACAGAUGUCCUGGCUUCCCCGGGCCAAGGAAUCUCAGCCCCUCCCAGUAGAUGAGACACUUCAUCCCUUGGACACCAGAAGCAUCUUCCGGAUUUCAUCAGGCAAGCGCACUCAGUAUGAACGGGUUCCGUGACUUUCUCCUGAGCAAACCUGUGCAGAAGGAUGAAAGGCUUUCUCCCCAGCUGUCAACAAGUACAAUUCAUUAAGGAACAUUUACAUGCACAGAGGAAAGGGAGCAUAAAUUCUCCCACCCUGAAGGAGACAGAACAAAAGUCAUUGCAAAGAUCAGGCAAAGGAGACAUUUGGAGAAUUUUAUUCUGUCUUACCAGAAUACGCAAGAAUGCCCUGAAAGACAGAAAUAAGAGCUUCAUUAGAAUCUCCUUAACAACCAAAAGAGAUGGAGGAAGUCAACAACUGAGGGUGAGGAGAGCUCUCUGCUGACAAGGCCACGUAUCCAGGUCCUUCCUGCUCCAUGGCAAGCACAGGCUGGAUGGAAGGCUUCCGUGGAUGCUUUGGGAGCGAAGUUGCCUGGAGAACCCACAAACUCAGGAGCUAGCAACAAAUUCCAGGACUUUCUAUAACCCAUUAAACACACUUGAAAGUGAUUAUCCUGAGCAGUAAUUGAGAACAGCUGAGACUUAGAAUGCUGGUUCAUAACUUAUCUUCGAUGGGUGUUUCUCAAAAUUUUUCUAUAUAAGAAUCAUCCAGCUAAGUAUAAUAGUUCGAAAUCUUAUCAAAUUGUGUACUUAGUUGCUUUAACAAAGUUGUUUUGGGUUUUUUUCGUUGAAAAAAAAUCAGAUCUCCGGGCUGGCCCCGUGGCCGAGUGGUUAAGUUCGCGCGCUCCACUGCAGGCGGCCCAGUGUUUCGUUGGUUCGAAUCCUGCUCAUGGACAUGGCACUGCUCAUCAAACCACGCUGAGGCGGCGUCCCACAUGCCACAACUGAAAGGACCCACAACGAAGAAUAUACAACUAUGUACCCAGGGGCUUUGGGGAGAAAAAGGAAAAAAAAAUAAAAUCUUUAAAACAAAAAACCA